UACGUAGGGGGCAAGCGUUAUCCGGAAUUAUUGGGCGUAAAGAGUGCGUAGGUGGUUACCUAAGCGCAAGGUUUAAACUUGAGGCUCAACCUCAUUCUGCCUUGCGAACUGGGCUACUUGAGUGCAGGAGGGGAAAGCGGAAUUCCUAGUGUAGCGGUGAAAUGCGUAGAUAUUAGGAAGAACACCGGUGGCGAAGGCGGCUUUCUGGACUGUAACUGACACUGAGGCACGAAAGCGUGGGGAGCAAACAGGAUUAGAAACCCCAGUAGUCC
rnacentral:rRNA from 1 species